AUUCCAUGAAGGGGACAUUCUAGGGUGUAGUCUUGGAAGCGCUCCCAUGCUUCUGGAACGGAUUCAUCAUGUUGUUGCUGAAAACUUGUAAUCUUCCCACAGAGAGC
rfam:Sorghum bicolor cultivar BTx623 chromosome 5, whole genome shotgun sequence.